rnacentral:rRNA from 1 species
UACGUAGGGUGCAAGCGUUGUCCGGAAUUAUUGGGCGUAAAGAGCUCGUAGGCGGUUUGUCGCGUCUGCUGUGAAAACUCGGGGCUUAACCCCGGGCCUGCAGUGGGUACGGGCAGACUAGAGUGCGGUAGGGGAGACUGGAAUUCCUGGUGUAGCGGUGAAAUGCGCAGAUAUCAGGAAGAACACCCGUGGCGAAGGCGGCUUUCUGGGACGGUACUGACGCUGCGACGCGAAAGCGUGGGGAGCGAACAGG